AUACGGAGGGUGCAAGCGUUACUCGGAAUCACUGGGCGUAAAGCGCGCGCAGGCGGCUAUUUAAGUUGGAUGUGAAAGCCUACGGCUCAACCGUAGAACUGCAUCCAAAACUAUUUAGCUAGAGUGUGGGAGAGGAAGAUGGAAUUAGUUGUGUAGGGGUAAAAUCCGUAGAGAUAACUAGGAAUACCAAAAGCGGAGGCAAUCUUCUGGAACACUACUGACGCUGAGGCGCGAAAGCGUGGGGAGCAAACAGGAUUAGAAACCCUAGUAGUCC
rnacentral:rRNA from 1 species